rnacentral:rRNA from 1 species
AGAGUUUGAUCAUGGCUCAGGAUGAACGCUAGCGGCAGGCUUAACACAUGCAAGUCGAGGGGCAGCGCGGAGGUAGCAAUACCACUGGCGGCGACCGGCGCACGGGUGCGUAACGCGUAUGCAACCUGCCCCAAACAGGGGGAUAACUCGGUGAAAACCGAACUAAUACCCCAUAUAGACGCCGAUUCACAUGUUUUGGCGUCGAAAGCUCCGGCGGUUUGGGAUGGGCAUGCGUGGCAUUAGGUAGUUGGCGGGGCAACGGCCCACCAAGCCGACGAUGUCUAGGGGAGCUGAGAGGCUUAUCCCCCACACCGGUACUGAGACACGGACCAGACUCCUACGGGAGGCAGCAGUGAGGAAUAUUGGUCAAUGGACGGAAGUCUGAACCAGCCAUGCCGCGUGAAGGAAGACGGCCCUAUGGGUUGUAAACUUCUUUUGCCGCAGAGUAAUAAGGGCCCUGCGGGGUCCGAUGAGAGUAUGCGGCGAAUAAGCAUCGGCUAACUCCGUGCCAGCAGCCGCGGUAAUACGGAGGAUGCGAGCGUUAUCCGGAUUUAUUGGGUUUAAAGGGUGCGCAGGCGGACAGCUAAGUCAGCGGUGAAAUAUCCCGGCUCAACCGGGAGGCUGCCGUUGAUACUGGCUGACUCGAGUCCAAACGGCGCCGGCGGAAUAUGUAAUGUAGCGGUGAAAUGCAUAGAUAUUACAUAGAACACCGAUCGCGAAGGCAGCUGGCGAGGAUGGCACUGACGCUGAGGCACGAAGGCGUGGGGAUCAAACAGGAUUAGAUACCCUGGUAGUCCACGCAGUAAACGAUGAUAACUUGUUGUCGGCGAUAGACGGCCGGUGACAAAGUGAAAGCGUUAAGUUAUCCACCUGGGGAGUACGAUCGCAAGGUUGAAACUCAAAGGAAUUGACGGGGGCCCGCACAAGCGGAGGAGCAUGUGGUUUAAUUCGAUGAUACGCGAGGAACCUUACCUAGACUCAAAUGUAGGACGGCAGGCCCAGAGAUGGGCCCUUCCUUCGGGACGGCCUACAAGGUGCUGCAUGGUUGUCGUCAGCUCGUGCCGUGAGGUGUCAGGUUAAGUCCUAUAACGAGCGCAACCCCUACGUCCAGUUGCCAGCGGGUGAGGCCGGGGACUCUGGACGGACUGCCGGCGCAAGCCGAGAGGAAGGUGGGGAUGACGUCAAAUCAGCACGGCCCUUACGUCUAGGGCGACACACGUGCUACAAUGGCCGGUACAGAGGGCAGCUACACUGCGAAGUGAUGCGAAUCUCGAAAGCCGGUCUCAGUUCGGAUCGGAGUCUGCAACCCGACUCCGUGAAGUUGGAUUCGCUAGUAAUCGCGCAUCAGCCAUGGCGCGGUGAAUACGUUCCCGGGCCUUGUACACACCGCCCGUCAAGCCAUGAAAGCCGGGGGCGCCUGAAGUCCGUGACCGAGAGGAGCGGCCUAGGGUGAAACUGGUAAUUGGGGCUAAGUCGUAACAAGGUAACC